GGAGUGGCUUCUUCAGAGUGCAUUUUUGGAAGGAAGACUGAUGGGUCAAAAGAUAAGUGCAAAUGUAAUUCUGUUACCUAUCGCCAAACGUGACGAACACAACCCUAUUGGAGUGGGUUCAAGAAACAGGAGAGCAAGUGAAGAUGGCAAAUAGAGACAACUCAUUCCAGCACUUCGGGUGUGAAAGGAAGUGGAAAAUUAUAGCAAUGACCGGCAUUGGAUGCAGAGUUGAAGGAGGCAUGUGUGUGUGUUUAAGUCAUGAAGAUAGUACAGCACGUUUGUAAGCUGGCCCAGCUUU
rnacentral:lncRNA from 1 species